rnacentral:rRNA from 1 species
AUUGAACGCUGGCGGCAGGCUUAACACAUGCAAGUCGAGCGGAGUGAGGUAGCUUGCUACUGAUCUUAGCGGCGGACGGGUGAGUAAUGCUUAGGAAUCUGCCUAUUAGUGGGGGACAACAUUUCGAAAGGAAUGCUAAUACCGCAUACGUCCUACGGGAGAAAGCAGGGGAUCUUCGGACCUUGCGCUAAUAGAUGAGCCUAAGUCGGAUUAGCUAGUUGGUGGGGUAAAGGCCUACCAAGGCGACGAUCUGUAGCGGGUCUGAGAGGAUGAUACGCCACACUGGGACUGAGACCCGGCCCAGACUCCUACGGGAGGCAGCAGUGGGGAAUAUUGGACAAUGGGCGCAAGCCUGAUCCAGCCAUGCCGCGUGUGUGAAGAAGGCCUUAUGGUUGUAAAGCACUUUAAGCGAGGAGGAGGCUACUUUAGUUAAUACCUAGAGAUAGUGGACGUUACUCGCAGAAUAAGCACCGGCUAACUCUGUGCCAGCCGCCGCCGUAA